rnacentral:rRNA from 1 species
UACGAAGGGGGCUAGCGUUGCUCGGAAUCACUGGGCGUAAAGGGUGCGUAGGCGGGUCUUUAAGUCAGGGGUGAAAUCCUGGAGCCCAACUCCAGAACUGCCUUUGAUACUGAAGAUCUUGAGUUCGGGAGAGGUGAGUGGAACUGCGAGUGUAGAGGUGAAAUUCGUAGAUAUUCGCAAGAACACCAGUGGCGAAGGCGGCUCACUGGCCCGGUACUGACGCUGAGGCACGAAAGCGUGGGGAGCAAACAGG